AAUGAAGUCAUGCAAUGGAUUCAGUUUGGCUGGGUGAAAAAAAAUCCCAUAUUUGCAUUGCUAUAGUCCUUCAUCAUUCACAUUUGAUCUAUCUGGCAUUUGAUACAAGAUACAGGCAUGGACGACCUGCCUCAAGCUGCUACAAUGUCUACAGAAGAGAGCUCAUCCAAGAUAGUAAGUGUAAUUACUUCUCCAAGAGUCGAAUUUGUGCUUCAGAAUACAAGAAAGGCUUACAGGUUGAAGGUUUAUUUCAGGAGCUAAGAAAAUGUCAUCUUGAAUUACCAGACUUCUGGAAACCUGUUCUGAGAAGGUGAGUGCAGAUUUGCAUGACUGGAAUGGUAUCUUUUGCUCCUCUCUCUGGAGGGCACAUGCUUUUUCUUAAUAUUAAUGUGACUAAUCAGUGAAACUUUCUCUAUAUUCUUACUGGUUAAACCAGCUGGUCAUGGGUAUAUCUCUAAUUUAAGUUCUUUUGCCAGCAUCCAAGAAGACUCUGUAUGUGUGGAUUCCUUUCUCUCGAUUAAAUAGUGUUAUUUUUAAAACAAACAUUAAACUUUUAUGAAAUUAUA